AUCCAGCUGACGAGUCCCAAAUGGUACGUAACGCGAGUCGUGGAU
rnacentral:hammerhead_ribozyme from 1 species